rnacentral:rRNA from 1 species
GACGAACGCUGGCGGCGUGCUUAACACAUGCAAGUCGAACGGUGAAGCUCCAGCUUGCUGGAGUGGAUCAGUGGCGAACGGGUGAGUAACACGUGAGCAACCUGCCCCUGACUCUGGAAUAAGCGCUGGAAACGGCGUCUAAUACUGGAUACGAGAAGGGCCCGCAUGGGCACUUUCUGGAAAGUUUUUCGGUUGGGGAUGGGCUCGCGGCCUAUCAGCUUGUUGGUGAGGUAAUGGCUCACCAAGGCGACGACGGGUAGCCGGCCUGAGAGGGCGACCGGCCACACUGGGACUGAGACACGGCCCAGACUCCUACGGGAGGCAGCAGUGGGGAAUAUUGCACAAUGGGCGAAAGCCUGAUGCAGCGACGCCGCGUGAGGGAUGACGGCCUUCGGGUUGUAAACCUCUUUCAGCAGGGAAGAAGCGAAAGUGACGGUACCUGCAGAAGAAGAACCGGCUAACUACGUG